GGUUAAGCGACUAAGCGUACACGGUGGAUGCCCUGGCAGUCAGAGGCGAUGAAGGACGUGCUAAUCUGCGAAAAGCGUCGGUAAGGUGAUAUGAACCGUUAUAGCCGGCGAUGUCCGAAUGGGGAAACCCAGUGCAAUUCGUUGCACUAUCGUUAACUGAAUACAUAGGUUAACGAGGC
rnacentral:rRNA from 1 species